rnacentral:miRNA from 1 species
GCUGCGCAGAGAGGGAGAGCUGCGCAGUGCCCCUUCAGCGAAGCGCCUCGCCUGUGAAGCGGGAGGAGGAACGGAGCCCAUUCUGUUCCUCCUCCCGCUUCGCUGAAGGGGCGCUGCGCAGCUCUCCCUCUCUGUUCCUC